rnacentral:rRNA from 1 species
CCUACGGGUGGCAGCAGUGAGGAAUAUUGGUCAAUGGACGAGAGUCUGAACCAGCCAAGUAGCGUGAAGGAUGACUGCCCUAUGGGUUGUAAACUUCUUUUAUAUGGGAAUAAAAUGUUCCACGUGUGGGAUUUUGUAUGUACCGUAUGAAUAAGGAUCGGCUAACUCCGUGCCAGCAGCCGCGGUAAUACGGAGGAUCCGAGCGUUAUCCGGAUUUAUUGGGUUUAAAGGGAGCGUAGGUGGUUGGUUAAGUCAGUUGUGAAAGUUUGAGGCUCAACCGUAAAAUUGCAGUUGAUACUGGUAGUCUAGAGUACAGUAGAGGUGGGCGGAAUGUGUGGUGUAGCGGUGAAAUGCUUAGAUAUCACGAAGAACACCGAUUGCGAAGGCAGCUUAC